rnacentral:rRNA from 1 species
UGGGGAAUUUUGGACAAUGGGCGAAAGCCUGAUCCAGCAAUGCCGCGUGUGUGAAGAAGGCCUUCGGGUUGUAAAGCACUUUUGUCCGGAAAGAAAUCCUUGGCUCUAAUACAGUCGGGGGAUGACGGUACCGGAAGAAUAAGCACCGGCUAACUACGUGCCAGCAGCCGCGGUAAUACGUAGGGUGCAAGCGUUAAUCGGAAUUACUGGGCGUAAAGCGUGCGCAGGCGGUUUGCUAAGACCGAUGUGAAAUCCCCGGGCUCAACCUGGGAACUGCAUUGGUGACUGGCAGGCUAGAGGUAUGGCAGAGGGGGGUAGAAUUCCACGUNUAGCAGUGAAAUGCGUAGAGAUGUGGAGGAAUACCGAUGGCGAAGGCAGCCCCCUGGGCAAUACUGACGCUCAUGCACGAAAGCGUGGGGAGCAAACAGGAUUAGAUACCCUGGUAGUCCACGCCCUAAACGAUGUCAUUAGUUGUUGGGGAUUCAUUUCCUUAGUAACGUAGCUAACGCGUGAAGUUGACCGCCUGGGGAGUACGGUCGCAAGAUUAAAACUCAAAUGAAUUG